rnacentral:rRNA from 1 species
UGGGGGAUAUUGCACAAUGGGCGCAAGCCUGAUGCAGCGACGCCGCGUGGGGGAUGAAGGCCUUCGGGUUGUAAACUUCUUUUGCUCUGAACAAGGCGCACUUUGGGGUGUGUUGAGUGUAGGGGUUGAUUAGCGCCGGCUAACUACGUGCCAGCAGCCGCGGUAAUACGUAGGGCGCGAGCGUUGUCCGGAAUUAUUGGGCGUAAAGGGCUUGUAGGUGGCUGGUUGCGUCUGUCGUGAAAGCUCAUGGCUUAACUGUGGGUUUGCGGUGGGUACGGGCUGGCUUGAGUGCAGUAGGGGAGGCUGGAAUUCCUGGUGUAGCGGUGGAAUGCGCAGAUAUCAGGAGGAAUACCGGUGGCGAAGGCGGGUCUCUGGGCUGUUACUGACACUGAGGAGUGAAAGCAUGGGGAGCGAACAGG